UGUUUGUACGAUUCAACACCAGAGAAUGGGAAAGAGAGAAAACAGUCUUUUUGUUCAAUGAUCUCCAUCAAUCAGUGGUGAUUCAAAGGGAUUACAUAAAAGGACAUGGCUUCAUCCAAUCAUACUCCUAUCAAGUUCAACCAAGCAAAGAACGGGAAAGAGAGAAAACAAUCUUUCUGUUCAAUGAUCUCCAUCAAUCAGUGGUGAUUCAAAGGGAUUACAUAAAAAGACAUGGCUUCAUCCAAUCCUACUCCUAUCAAGUUCAACCAAGCAAGACCGGGGUCUAGAAAUGGGAUGAAGAUUGCAACGUCUGGAAGUUGGACCGCUGGGGAUAAAGAAUUGCAAUAAACUUUCCUCACCACUUGCUGCUCGACUUGAACAGGAGCUUGCAAUUAAAGGUUCCAGCUUACUUCAAUUACCUCAAUUCUUUGGCUAGUCUCUGGCCAAUGAACAUGAUCUGUAGGUGCUUUCAAGGUCAACGCAUCAGAUCAUUAGACUCUGCCAACUUUGCUUCCAAUUUCAUUGGAACCGAAUGACCCUUUUCUUUCUUUUUGGUCAUCAGAUUGCCUCAGAUGUUACAUUCCCGGUUGUAUUUUUGCAUACCCAUAUGACAUUUACAUGAUGUUCACUAAAGAUGCGAGUGGCAAACAUGUGACCUUAAUCAUGAUAAGCUUUUAUGAUUCUUUAGGGACAUGAAAUCUAGGGAUUUGAAUGGAUGGCAUUUGUUUGUUCUUGAUUUUGGGUUCU